GAUCAGAUGGAAGAGCAGCCAGCAGAAAACCAGGCCAGUGCGGUGCCCUGAGCUGGGAAGAGGUCCUCCAGGAGAGAGAAGUCGACUGUGAAGAUGCUGGUGGAAGACGCAGCAAGAAGAGAAAGGGAACAGAGAAUCUAAUCUCCACGUUAGAUUUGCAAUGUGGAGGUCUCUGGGUGCUUGACAAGAGCAAUUUCAACAGAAUAGUGAACACAGAUGUCUGAUUAAAGUGUCCUGGGGAGUGGCUGGGGAAGCGAAGAUGGAAUGUCUAGAUAAUCUUCCUGCAAGUUUGGCUGUAAAGGGGGCAUCCAGGAGGAGGGCAGGUGGCAGCCAUGAGGCGGGAGAAGGGGUGGCAUCACCAGACGACAGAGACCCAGAGGAGGAGAGGCGUGCAGGACCCUGCGAAUCCAUGUCCAGGUUCCCAGGCACCGGUAAGGGUGGAAACAUCUUCCUCAGAUAUCCAGAGGGUGCCGCAUCCUCAGGGGACAGCCCACUACCAGUCCAGGCCGGAGAGGAGGGGACUGCAAGUGGGUGUGAGUGAUUGUGGAGGAGUGGGUGUGAGUGUGAUUGUGUAAAGUGUGAAUGUAGGAGUGCAUGUGAAAGUGUGUUAGUGUGUGUGUGAAUAUAUGGGUGGGUGAGUAUUAGCGUGUGUGAGUGUCAAUGAGUGAAUGUGUACGAGUGAAUGUUAGUGAGUGAGUGUGAGUGUGGGGUGACUAUGUGGAAUGUGGAAGUGUAUAUGAGAGUGUGAGUGUGUGAGUGUGUGAAAGUGGGGGUGGGUGAAUGAAGUGUGAGGGGGUGUGUGAAGAUGUGUGUAAAUGUGUCAAAUGUAAAUGUGUGGGGUAUAAUGAAAGUGUGAGUGCAAGUGAAUAUAGGGGCGAGUGACUGUUAGUGUGUGUGAGUGUGUGUGUUUGUGGGUGUGUGAGGUGUGGGUGAAUGUGUGGGGGUGUGUCUGAGUGAGUGUGGAUGUGUGUGG
rnacentral:lncRNA from 1 species